rnacentral:rRNA from 1 species
AAUGAACGUUGGCGGCGUGGAUUAGGCAUGCAAGUCGAGCGCGAACCGUAGCAAUACGGGGAGAGCGGCGAAAGGGAGAGUAAUGCGUGGAUACCUGCCCUCGGGUUCGGGAUAGCUACGGGAAACUGUAGGUAAUACCGAAUAACAUCUUCGGAUCAAAGGUGUGAUUCCGCCCGGGGAGGGGUCCGCGUCCUAUUAGCUAGUUGGUGAGGUAACGGCCCACCAAGGCGAAGAUGGGUAUGGGGUGUGAGAGCAUGACCCCACUCACUGGGACUGAGACACUGCCCAGACACCUACGGGUGGCAG